CACCUAAAAGAGGAGAUCGUUCUGGACAGUAGGGCAGGCCUUGAGGAGCUGGAGGGCCCCCUGGGGCAACAGGGGCCCCCGGUAGGUGACUGAGGUUACUGUAGACAUCAUGGGGAUGAGAAUAGUCAAAUGUCGGCCCCUGCUCUCGGCCAAAUAGGGCACUGAGGCUCCGGAAGCCCCCCAGUGACAGGUACAUCAUGACAGCCAGCUGGGAGCCCACCAGCAGGGCCAGUGUGCAGGGCCGCUCCAGCAGCCUCCGCAACAUCCUGGGCUGAGGUCUGAGGAGGGAGAGAGGAGAGUUCUGGGGGCCGUCAGGUGAAGAGCAAGCCAGCACAGAGACCAUCAGUAAGAACCAAGGUGGUGCCAGGAGUUAAGAGGAAAAGAAGCAAAGAAGAAAGUCACAGAAGGGAGCACACAGGUGUAGAGACAGAAUGUAACCACCAGCGGCCCGACCACCUGCCAUUUCCAGCCUAAGUUUCACUCUCCUCCACCGCCUCCCCAAACCACUGGUGCCAACUACUCUCAGUCCCCACCCCCAAGGAUGCUUACAUCAUUCAGGUCCUUGGCAAAGGAGUCUCUGGAGAACCUCCCUCCCAAUUUCAGAGGGGGAUGGACUCACCUAGGUUCAAGCUGUCUUCUUCGGGAUCAUGGGGGCUUCAGGGGGUCCCGGGGGCGCAGAUAUGUGAGGCAUUAUCUAAAAUUGGAAAUGUCACAGAGGACAGAGAAAGGCCAUCCAGCGCUCCAACAGCGAUCCUGGGACCAGCUGGAACAGAAGUGGUGGAGGAUAACCGCGCACGCAGAGGGGCAGAGGUCAAGAUGAGGGGGAAACCGGCUUCCCAGCAGGGGAAGUGAGGCCAAGUGGCUGGAGAGAAACAGGGAGGGCCCGGAGAUGCUGGGUCCUCUCCGCCAGCUGCCCUACAGUGCCAGGUGCACGUGUACUUCACCAUGCCCCAGCCCGACAGGACAACCUGUCCGGGAGAGGGGACAGGCUGCUAAUGGAGACCGUCGCCAAGGGGUCAGCCACGCGGAGGUGAAGAAUCCGCCAGACACGUGUCUACACACGUCCGAAGAACAGAAUCAGGAUAGGGAUCCCAAGUACUAAGUCUUCCUACCUGUUCUAACCGACUACAGAGCUCUCGAGUCUGCCCAGCGGUAGCCAUCCUGCCAGGCCUGCACACCCCGGGUGACAGGCAGUCACCUUCUUCACAGCCAGCCCUUUCUCAGGUGAAGAGCUUUGACCCUUAGAAGGUCAGAUGGAACUGUACUGCACCAAGAGUGGCCUGCCUUGGCCUGCCUCAGCCGUGCCAUUCGUGUGAGAAGGAGUGGGAACCACACAAAGGCAGAAGCGUCUCGCACCCCAUCCCACACUGCAGAGGAAAGCCAGCCCUACUCCCACGUUACCCAGUUCAUGAGCAGCAGUGAAGGCCGACUGAAGCCCAUCAUCCUCCACAACAGCACAGCUCCGAGCCGGGUCACACACAGUGCCCACGUCGGCCAUGCCCAGAGUGUCACAAGUAGACACCCCGCACAGGUCCUGUGGAGAGGGAUCGGAGAAGAUGCGUGAGGAACUACGACCCCAGGGCCACCGGGGAUGAGGGCUGGGUCGGUGGGGACCUGGGCACUGAGUGCGCCGUCAGGGCCCGGAGGGCAGUGUGGCUGGGGCCAGGUGCCACGUUGAACAACUCCAAGGGCACCAUUUCUAGCACGGUGCACACGACGGUGCUCUGGGAGUCGGGCAGCGCCUGGCCGGGGGCUGUCGGGGCCUCACCUGCCGGGUGAACAGAAUGGCCGUGUCAAAGUGGUCAGGGUCCGAGUCCUCGGGGGUGUUGAGUCCUCGCUGCCAGGCGCAGAAACUGCGCAGGGUCUGGGCGGCGCUGGGCCCCACUUGGGGCCCUUCCUCGCCGGGCCCCAGAAUCACGAGCCGAGUCACCACCAGGCUGACGGGGUUGCGGAUGCUGGGGUGCUUGAAGGCCUUGGCUGCCGCGGCCAUGACCGUCAGCAGGUAGCGCUUCAGGCCUGCGCCGUGAAAUGCUGCCAUCUUGUCAUCGGCCACGACCAGAGUCUCCACGAAGCGACUCAGUGAAGCAAAGCGCUGGAUUGGAAGAAGGAGGGAGCGGCGUGGGGCAGCCUCCCGGGCCGUGGCCCCCUCCCGCUCCCGUCUUCCUGGGCCGCAGAGCCCACGGCAUUCCUGGCGGGUCGCCGGGCCCUCCCCCAACCCCGGGCCCAGGGCGCUCUGGCGACUCCAGACUCAGCUGUUGGUUCUGAGAAGGGGAGGGGAAGGGGCUGCCACGUCCCCGGCUGCUGCGGAGCCCCAGAGGUGAAGGCAGCUGGGACUGCCUCUGGGAGGGGCCCCGGGGUCCCCCAGGCCCGAGUGCGCUGGGGCCUGCAGCGGUGCAGCUAGAGGGCCGGGCUGCAACGUGUCUGCCCUGUGUGGUUGGAGUAACCAUUCAGUCAGCAGCUAGGGCCGGGGCCAGAUCUCAGCGUGGCGGGUGUGGAGGGCGAGCGGCUGGUCUGGA